GGUUGUCACCACAGCAAGACCACCCGUUAGGGGACUGGAGCUCAGAGGGUCCCUGGAGAACAGGACCAACGGUGUCUUUUCAUCAAAGAACGGCAGAACAGCGUCUUUUCACCAAAGAACAAACGACUGGGAGGUGGAGGCAGAUGCUCUGCGUUGGUCUCAGUUACAGACUCGGAAGUUGAGGGCGACUUCGGAGUCACAGAUUUGGUUGUCACCAAAGUUCCUUGUCUCAGCGACGAGGGGCUGCCUUAGACGUCAGGAUGAGGAGACUUCAAGCUGGCUCAUUCUAUCCUGGUAGAAGGGAAAUCCAGGCAUCGGGUCCUGCAGUGGUCAGCGCUGGCUCCGUCCGACUCCGUGCGAAUCGCCUUGGGUUUGUCCCUUUUGUCGCCGAGGCUCUGGAGAUGCUCAGACCGUAAGUGCCAGACAAAUGUGAUCAAGCACUUUCUUCGCUGCAUAUACCCAGUGUUGUGGCUGGCACCACUGAUCACGGAAUCUUCUAAGUGCAGAGCUGAUGCCAGGCACCACUUGCAUCUCCAGAACUGAGUGCUAAGUAAUCAUAUUUUCUUUAUAAAGUUAGUUUGCCUGAAGAAUUACAUGGUUGACAAUAAAAAGCACAUUCAAACACCUUCU
rnacentral:lncRNA from 1 species